AGUAAGAAGUCAGAACUUCCUGAAGAAUAGCUUGAUAUUUCAGUGGGGCAUCUGCAAUACAUUUAGGACCUCCAUGAAGGUGAGAGGAAAUUCAGAAGAAAGACCAGAAAUUAUUAACUUUUGAGCAAUCACUAUGCUAGUAACAUCUGUCACGGAUUUGGAUUUAACAUCUGAAGUGACUUGUUGAAGAGCUUACUUUCUGUUUGAAGUGGUGAUCUUGCAGAAAUAGAGAGAAAAGAGGCCGUAGUAAAGAAAGAGUCAGGCAGGCUUUUGUGGAAGAAAUUAAAAUACACCUGCACCCGCAGAGCCAAUACGAAGAAGCCCCUUCGAAGAGUUACACUGGUCAACUUAAAUUAACCUUAUCUCGCAUCAGUUCUUCUAUCUCCCCACCAAUGGUCUAUGCAUUGUAGUUGUUCUUUUAUAUCUGAUAGCGAGUUUAUCAUUAUACUUGUUAUUGGCUUCAAUUUGUGGGUUUUCAAUAUAUUCGUUAUUGGCUUUAAUGCUUUUAUUCUUUUAUAUAUGAUU